UACGUAGGGUGCAAGCGUUGUCCGGAAUUAUUGGGCGUAAAGAGCUCGUAGGCGGUUUGUCGCGUCGAAUGUGGAAACCCGGGGCUCAACCCCGGGCCUGCAUUCGAUACGGGCAGACUAGAGUUCGGUAGGGGAGUCUGGAAUUCCUGGUGUAGCGGUGAAAUGCGCAGAUAUCAGGAGGAACACCGGUGGCGAAGGCGGGACUCUGGGCCGAUACUGACGCUGAGGAGCGAAAGCGUGGGGAGCAAACAGG
rnacentral:rRNA from 1 species